rnacentral:lncRNA from 1 species
UCACUCACUGACAAUACUGCCGGUAGUUACUGGAAUUUCUUCCUCAAACGGAGAGGAAUCCCUACACCGCAAUUGCGAAGAUAGUUCCAUGAAAUGUAGUAAACGUCAGAUUUACUAAUACUAACCUUCGAACACGAUUUUGAGUCAUCAGUGUAACACUUCCGGUUCCAGGUACGAGAAAGCAAAAAGGUGCAUACCACAAUGUACAUGGUUAUUGUUACCGCUGGAAUGGCGUUCGGCUUGGUGGUUCACACUAUCGAUUUAGGUGCGACAAGUAACUGUACACCACCGGACUGUUCCAAAAACCCACACAAUACGAGUUGUACGGAGCCAUGCGUUGGAUACUCUUGCAAUGGCACACAGCUCUUAAAAGAACACUGUCAAGGUCACAAUGACUCAAGAUGCAUGGCGUCUUUUGCUAACUACUCAGCUCCUUAUCCCGACUGCUGCGGCGUGGUUAUGUGCACUUAAGGAUAACGGCAAUGGAAGCACGUCGAAGGUGAAAAUAUGACCAAUCACUGAAUAAUGCCUACCACUCUAAUAUUAACAAAUACAUCCGGAUGUUGCUCCAGAGCGCUGUGCGCAAGAGGUGUGCUCGAGUGAACAUAUUAAUAAAAUGUCAUAUUUUUA